rnacentral:rRNA from 1 species
UUGAUCCUGGCUCAGGUUGGACGCUGGCGGCAUGCCUUACACAUGCAAGUCGAACGGCAGCAUGAUCUAGCUUGCGUAGAUUGAUGGCGAGUGGCGAACGGGUGAGUAAUACAUCGGAACGUGCCCUGUAGUGGGGGAUAACUAGUCGAAAGAUUAGCUAAUACCGCAUACGACCUGAGGGUGAAAGUGGGGGACCGCAAGGCCUCAUGCUAUAGGAGCGGCCGAUGUCUGAUUAGCUAGUUGGUGAGGUAAAGGCUCACCAAGGCGACGAUCAGUAGCUGGUCUGAGAGGACGAUCAGCCACACUGGGACUGAGACACGGCCCAGACUCCUACGGGAGGCAGCAGUGGGGAAUUUUGGACAAUGGGGGCAACCCUGGUCCAGCAAUGCCGCGUGUGUGAAGAAGGCCUUCGGGUUGUAAAGCACUUUUGUCCGGAAAGAAAUCGCACUUACUAAUA